GGGAAGAUGACGUGCCGAGGAAGAUCCUGCCGUAGACCGAAGCAGUGACGAAGUGCACCGGGGCCGAGGCGCUGACGAGGUCGAGCUCGUCGGUGUGGUCGCUCCCCGACCCUACCGACGAUGGGAAUGGAACGCGGGGUCGAACCCCGAGCUCCUGGACAUGGCGGACUUGCCGGACGGUGACGACGGCGGGGUAGACGCGGGCACCUUCUCUGCUUCUCUCUGCUACUGUCUACAGAAGCCUACCUGCGGGGAGGAAGAGAGAUGGGGAAGGUGGCGGCGCACUGGAGGGGGAGAAGGAACCCUACGGAGGAGGAGGAAGACCGGGGGCUUUAUACA
rnacentral:lncRNA from 1 species